rnacentral:rRNA from 1 species
CACGGACCAAGGAGUCUAACAAGUAUGCGAGUCAAUGGGACUCGAUGAAGCCCAGAGGCGCAAUGAAAGCAAAGGACGGACUUGACUCCGUACAAGCUGGGAUUCCUCCGCCUCGUGCGGGGGACGCACCAGCGACCCGUCCUAUCCGAUUUAUCGGUGGGGCGGAGUCUGAGCAUAUACGUUGGGACCCGAAAGAUGGUGAACUAUGCCCGGGCAGGACGAAGCCAGAGGAAACUCUGGUGGAGGUCCGUCGCGGUUCUGACGUGCAAAUCGAUCGCCAGACCUGGGUUUAGCGACGAAAGAUCAAUCGAACCAUCUAGUAGCUGGUUCCCUCCGAAGUUUCUCUCAGGAUAGCUGGCACUCAUGAGAAAUCAGUCUCAUCCGGUAAAGCGAAUGAUUAGAGGCCUUAGGGCCGAAACGACCUUAACCUAUUCUCAAACUUUAAAUGGGUGAGAAGUCCGUCUUGCAUGACUGAAGACUGGACGUUUCGGAUGAGAGUGCCCAGUGGGCCACUUUUGGUAAGCAGAACUGGCGCUGUGGGAUGAACCAAACGCUGGGUUAUGGUGCCCGAUGCAAGACGCUCAUGAGACCCCACAAAAGGUGUUUGUUGCUCUAGACAGCCAGGCAGUGGACACGGAAGUUGUAAUCUGCUAAGAAGUGUGUAACAACUUACUGGCCGAAGCAACUGGCCCUGAAAAUGGAUGGCGCUCUAGCGUCGAGCCUAUACCCGGCCGCUGCGGCAGAACUCCUAAUAUGGAGGCUUAUGUCGCAGUGAGUAGGAGGGGCGCAACGGCGUGCGUUGAAGGUGCCGGGCGUGAGCCCGCCUGGAGCCGCCGUUGGUGCAG